rnacentral:rRNA from 1 species
GAUGAACGCUGGCGGCGUGCCUAAUACAUGCAAGUCGAGCGAACGGACGAGAAGCUUGCUUUUCUGAUGUUAGCGACGGACGGGUGAGUAGCACGUGGAUAACCUACCUAUAAGACUGGGAUAACUUCGGGAAACCGGAGCUAAUACCGGAUAAUAUUUUGAACCGCAUGGUUCAAAAGUGAAAGACGGUCUUGCUGUCACUUAUAGAUGGAUCCGCGCUGCAUUAGCUAGUUGGUAAGGUAACGGCUUACCAAGGCAACGAUGCAUAGCCGACCUGAGAGGGUGAUCGGCCACACUGGAACUGAGACACGGUCCAGACUCCUACGGGAGGCAGCAGUAGGGAAUCUUCCGCAAUGGGCGAAAGCCUGACGGAGCAACGCCGCGUGAGUGAUGAAGGUCUUCGGAUCGUAAAACUCUGUUAUUAGGGAAGAACAUAUGUGUAAGUAACUGUGCACAUCUUGACGGUACCUAAUCAGAAAGCCACGGCUAACUACGUG